rnacentral:rRNA from 1 species
AUUUGUUGCAAGGUUAAGCGGAAAAAGCGGAGCCGUAGCGAAAGCGAGUCUGAAUAGGGCGCAUAAGUAACAGGUCGUAGACCCGAAACCAGGUGAUCUACCCAUGUCCAGGAUGAAGGUAAGGUAAUACUUACUGGAGGUCCGAACCCACGCACGUUGAAAAGUGCGGGGAUGAGGUGUGGGUAGCGGAGAAAUUCCAAUCGAACUUGGAGAUAGCUGGUUCUCUCCGAAAUAGCUUUAGGGCUAGCCUCGAGGUAAAGAGUCAUGGAGGUAGAGCACUGUUUGGACUAGGGGCCCUUCUCGGGUUACCGAAUUCAGAUAAACUCCGAAUGCCAUGUACUUAUACUCGGGAGUCAGACUGCGAGUGAUAAGAUCCGUAGUCGAAAGGGAAACAGCCCAGACCACCAGUUAAGGUCCCCAAAUAUAUGUUAAGUGGAAAAGGAUGUGGGGUUGCUUAGACAACCAGGAUGUUGGCUUAGAAGCAGCCACCAUUGAAAGAGUGCGUAAUAGCUCACUGGUCGAGUGACCCCGCGCCGAAAAUGUACCGGGGCUAAACAUAUUACCGAAACUGUGGAUGAACCUCUUUAGAGGUUCGUGGUAGGAGAGCGUUCUAAGGGCGGUGAAGUCAGACCGGAAGGACUGGUGGAGCGCUUAGAAGUGAGAAUGCCGGUAUGAGUAGCGAAAGAAGGGUGAGAAUCCCUUCCACCGAAUAUCUAAGGUUUCCUGAGGAAGGCUCGUCCGCUCAGGGUUAGUCGGGACCUAAGCCGAGGCCGAUAGGCGUAGGCGAUGGACAACAGGUAGAGAUUCCUGUACCAGUGCUAAUUGUUUAACCGAUGGGGUGACACAGAAGGAUAGGGAAUCGCACGAAUGGAAAUGUGCGUCCAAGCAGUGAGUGUGAGAAGUAGGCAAAUCCGCUUCUCGCGAAGCAUGAGCUGUGAUGGGGAAGGAAAUUAAGUACGGAAGUUCCUGAUUUCACGCUGUCAAGAAAAGCCUCUAGGAAGAGUAGUACUGCCCGUACCGCAAACCGACACAGGUAGAUGAGGAGAGAAUCCUAAGGUGAGCGAGAGAACUCUCGUUAAGGAACUCGGCAAAAUGACCCCGUAACUUCGGGAGAAGGGGUGCUCUAUUAGGGUGCAAGCCCGAGAGAGCCGCAGUGAAUAGGCCCAGGCGACUGUUUAGCAAAAACACAGGUCUCUGCAAAACCGUAAGGUGACGUAUAGGGGCUGACGCCUGCCCGGUGCUGGAAGGUUAAGAGGAGUGCUUAGCUUCGGCGAAGGUACGAAUUGAAGCCCCAGUAAACGGCGGCCGUAACUAUAACGGUCCUAAGGUAGCGAAAUUCCUUGUCGGGUAAGUUCCGACCCGCACGAAAGGCGCAACGAUCUGGGCACUGUCUCAACGAGAGACUCGGUGAAAUUAUAGUACCUGUGAAGAUGCAGGUUACCCGCGACAGGACGGAAAGACCCCGUGGAGCUUUACUGCAACCUGAUAUGGAAUGUUUGUACCGCUUGUACAGGAUAGGUAGGAGCCGAAGAGACGUGUGCGCUAGCAUACGAGGAGGCAAUGGUGGGAUACUACCCUGGCUGUAUGACCAUUCUAACCCGCCACGCUUAGCGCGUGGGGAGACAGUGUCAGGUGGGCAGUUUGACUGGGGCGGUCGCCUCCUAAAGAGUAACGGAGGCGCCCAAAGGUUCCCUCAGAAUGGAUGGAAAUCAUUCGCAGAGUGUAAAGGCACAAGGGAGCUUGACUGCGAGACUGACAAGUCGAGCAGGGACGAAAGUCGGGCUUAGUGAUCCGGUGGUUCCGCAUGGAAGGGCCAUCGCUCAACGGAUAAAAGCUACCCCGGGGAUAACAGGCUUAUCUCCCCCAAGAGUCCACAUCGACGGGGAGGUUUGGCACCUCGAUGUCGGCUCGUCGCAUCCUGGGGCUGUAGUCGGUCCCAAGGGUUGGGCUGUUCGCCCAUUAAAGCGGCACGCGAGCUGGGUUCAGAACGUCGUGAGACAGUUCGGUCCCUAUCCGUCGCGGGCGCAGGAAAUUUGAGAGGAGCUGUCCUUAGUACGAGAGGACCGGGAUGGACACACCGCUGGUGUACCAGUUGUUCCGCCAGGAGCAUCGCUGGGUAGCUAUGUGUGGCAGGGAUAAACGCUGAAAGCAUCUAAGCGUGAAGCCCCCCUCAAGAUGAGAUUUCCCAUUUCUUCGGAAAGUAAGAUCCCUGAAAGAUGAUCAGGUAGAUAGGUUUGGAGUGGAAGUGUAGCGAUACAUGGAGCGGACAAAUACUAAUCGAUCGAGGACUUAACCAAAA